GAGGGAUGCCUCGAUGUGUUUAAGGAGAGGGGAGUCCUCGUCCGUCCUUCACAUCCAUCCAUCUGUCCUUCCCUUCCUUCUGUUGUUAUCCAUGUAGGUCACAUCCAUCCUUCCCCUCCAUCCAUCCUCAUCCACGUAACCUUCAUACCCAUUCCUCCCUGUCUGUCCUUCUCAUCCGUCUGUCCUUCCAACCUGUCUUUCCCAUCUACCUGCCCUUCCCACCCAUCCACCCUUCCCAUCCCUCUGUGCCCUUCCUGCCCACCCCUCCUUCCUUUCCACCCCUCCUUUCUGUCUGUCCUUUCCCUCCAUCUGUCCUUCCCCAUACACCGAAUUCCACAUCUCUUCCCUUUCCAUCCCACCUCACCUCUGUCCUUUCUGUUUCUCCUCCCUCUUCCCCCCACCUACAUGUCAUUUCUAUCCCCCUAUUCUUUCUGUCUGUCUGUCCUUUCUCUCCAUCCAUCCAUCCAUCCAUCCAUCCAUCCAUCCAUCCAUCCAUCCAUCCAUCCAUCCACUCAGCCCACUUGUCCGUCUGUCCUUCCAGUCCCUUUAUCCAUCUUCUCUUCCCAUCCAUCCCUCCUUAUCCUUCCAUCCAUCCCAUCAUUUUAUCCCUAUUAUCCAUCCAUCCUUCCCAUCCAUUUCUCCUUCCCAUCCAUCCAUUCCCUAUUAUCCCCAUCCUUCCCACUCCAUCCAUCUAUUCUGGUUAUCGGGGGGCAGUGGGGCUGAUCCUACCCAUCCCAUUGCCCUCCCUCCCAUUUCCCCAUCCCCUUUUCCCCCCUCCCAUCCCUUUCACCACCAUCAAGGUCACGGACACCCCACAGCAGAGACCCCUACUCACCCCAUUACCCCCCCUAUUGCUGCCAUAAUGGGAACCGACCCCCAUAAUGGCACACGGGUGACACCGCAGACCCCGGGUUGACGCCAUAGGGUGACACCACGCUGCCAUAUCCCAAUGCUGGCAGCAGCCCUGCUUGCACAGCAGUGAUUUAUGGGCUCCUGGCAGCCCCCCGCCCGCCGUCAGCCUUUGUCUGAGCGCAGCUCUGCGGUCCUUUGUCCUCACGGUGCUUUGUCACCGCUGUGAUUUCCCUCUUCCUGGAUUUGGGGACACUGUGGGGACAUUGAUGGGUGUGGGGUGGUGGCAGCAGGGCUGGAAGGUGUUGGGAUGUCAGCAGGAUGCAGCCCUGACACUGUGGUGAGGGGCAACGUCACCCCCAGCCCUGCAUCCAUCCCCAUGGGAUCCACCGGGGAUAGGAUCUGUUGGGAUGGG
rnacentral:lncRNA from 1 species